rnacentral:misc_RNA from 1 species
CUCCUUUUCUUCACGUCGACGAUGUGCUGGUAUAUUCAACGGCGUUUGUAUGCCUGUAUAUCUCUGCAUCUGCAUGUGCGCGUGUGUAAGUGUGGUGUGUGUUACUGCCCAUGCUGUAGGGCACGCGCACACACCUUUUCCUGCGACUUCUGCGUGUCCUCUUCUGCAGCCCCAUUGCUUACCAGUUGGGUGGCUGAUUCCCCCACACCCUUUUUUUUUUUACUUCGGUAUCCUUCUCUACGUGAGCUUCAUUGCCCAGCGGCACCGAGACAAGGCACAACAUUUGGUGCGGAGGUGUACAGCGAAACCUGGCCCUGUCACCGCACGCCCCGUCACGCUAGCGGAAACCCCCCUUUCUCCCGGAGGCGUACCAGACUGUCUCAGCAGCUCGGCAGUGCGCCCUCCGUUUUCGGGGCACACACGCUGAUCACGCUGGAUGCGAGUUGAUGUGCUUGUGCUUCACAGACACCUCCGAAUGGGCGCACACUCCCACGAUUGUCUCAGACAGGCGCCUGCAUACACACCGCUCACCUAAACGUACUCUCCUUUCCCUCCCUGCCUUCCUGAUACACGUGAUGAUGUCCCACGUACGCACACGCACAAUCACGUGCCUGCCAG